rnacentral:tRNA from 1 species
GGGCGGUUAGCUCAGGAGUUAGAGUGCGUCGUUGACAUCGACGAGGUCAUAGGUGCGAAUCCUAUACCGCCCA